rnacentral:rRNA from 1 species
GAUGAACGCUGGCGGCGUGCUUAACACAUGCAAGUCGAACGAUGAAGCCCAGCUUGCUGGGUGGAUUAGUGGCGAACGGGUGAGUAACACGUGAGUAACCUGCCCUUAACUCUGGGAUAAGCCUGGGAAACUGGGUCUAAUACCGGAUAGGAGCGCCUACCGCAUGGUGGGUGUUGGAAAGAUUUAUCGGUUUUGGAUGGACUCGCGGCCUAUCAGCUUGUUGGUGAGGUAAUGGCUCACCAAGGCGACGACGGGUAGCCGGCCUGAGAGGGUGACCGGCCACACUGGGAAUGAGACAAGGCCCAGCCUCCUACGGGAGGCAGCAGGGGGGAAGAUUGCACAAUGGGCGCAAGCCUGAUGCAGCGACGCCGCGUGAGGGAUGACGGCCUUCGGGUUGUAAACCUCUUUCAGUAGGGAAGAAGCGAAAGUGACGGUACCUGCAGAAGAAGCACCGGCUAACGACGUG